rnacentral:rRNA from 1 species
AGCGUACACGGUGGAUGCCCUGGCAGUCAGAGGCGAUGAAGGACGUGCUAAUCUGCGAUAAGCGUCGGUAAGGUGAUAUGAACCGUUAUAACCGGCGAUUUCCGAAUGGGGAAACCCAGUGUGAUUCGUCACACUAUCAUUAACUGAAUCCAUAGGUUAAUGAGGCGAACCGGGGGAACUGAAACAUCUAAGUACCCCGAGGAAAAGAAAUCAACCGAGAUUCCCCAGUAGCGGCGAGCGAACGGGGAGCAGCCCAGAGCCUGAAUCAGUGUGUGUGUUAGUGGAAGCGUCUGGAAAGGCGUGCGAUACAGGGUGACAGCCCCGUACACAAAAAUGCACAUAUUGUGAGCUCGAUGAGUAGGACGGGACACGUGGUAUCCUGUCUGAAUAUGGGGGGACCAUCCUCCAAGGCUAAAUACUCCUGACUGACCGAUAGUGAACCAGUACCGUGAGGGAAAGGCGAAAAGAACCCCGGCGAGGGGAGUGAAAAAGAACCUGAAACCGUGUACGUACAAGCAGUGGGAGCACGCUUAGGCGUGUGACUGCGUACCUUUUGUAUAAUGGGUCAGCGACUUAUAUUCUGUAGCAAGGUUAACCGAAUAGGGGAGCCGAAGGGAAACCGAGUCUUAACUGGGCGUUAAGUUGCAGGGUAUAGACCCGAAACCCGGUGAUCUAGCCAUGGGCAGGUUGAAGGUUGGGUAACACUAACUGGAGGACCGAACCGACUAAUGUUGAAAAAUUAGCGGAUGACUUGUGGCUGGGGGUGAAAGGCCAAUCAAACCGGGAGAUAGCUGGUUCUCCCCGAAAGCUAUUUAGGUAGCGCCUCGUGAAUUCAUCUCCGGGGGUAGAGCACUGUUUCGGCAAGGGGGUCAUCCCGACUUACCAACCCGAUGCAAACUGCGAAUACCGGAGAAUGUUAUCACGGGAGACACACGGCGGGUGCUAACGUCCGUCGUGAAGAGGGAAACAACCCAGACCGCCAGCUAAGGUCCCAAAGUCAUGGUUAAGUGGGAAACGAUGUGGGAAGGCCCAGACAGCCAGGAUGUUGGCUUAGAAGCAGCCAUCAUUUAAAGAAAGCGUAAUAGCUCACUGGUCGAGUCGGCCUGCGCGGAAGAUGUAACGGGGCUAAACCAUGCACCGAAGCUGCGGCAGCGACACUAUGUGUUGUUGGGUAGGGGAGCGUUCUGUAAGCCUGUGAAGGUGUACUGUGAGGUAUGCUGGAGGUAUCAGAAGUGCGAAUGCUGACAUAAGUAACGAUAAAGCGGGUGAAAAGCCCGCUCGCCGGAAGACCAAGGGUUCCUGUCCAACGUUAAUCGGGGCAGGGUGAGUCGACUCCUAAGGCGAGGCCGAAAGGCGUAGUCGAUGGGAAACAGGUUAAUAUUCCUGUACUUGGUGUUACUGCGAAGGGGGGACGGAGAAGGCUAUGUUGGCCGGGCGACGGUUGUCCCGGUUUAAGCGUGUAGGCUGGUUUUCCAGGCAAAUCCGGAAAACUAAGGCUGAGGCGUGAUGACGAGGCACUACGGUGCUGAAGCAACAAAUGCCCUGCUUCCAGGAAAAGCCUCUAAGCAUCAGGUAACAUCAAAUCGUACCCCAAACCGACACAGGUGGUCAGGUAGAGAAUACCAAGGCGCUUGAGAGAACUCGGGUGAAGGAACUAGGCAAAAUGGUGCCGUAACUUCGGGAGAAGGCACGCUGAUAUGUAGGUGAAGUCCCUCGCGGAUGGAGCUGAAAUCAGUCGAAGAUACCAGCUGGCUGCAACUGUUUAUUAAAAACACAGCACUGUGCAAACACGAAAGUGGACGUAUACGGUGUGACGCCUGCCCGGUGCCGGAAGGUUAAUUGAUGGGGUCAGCGCAAGCGAAGCUCUUGAUCGAAGCCCCGGUAAACGGCGGCCGUAACUAUAACGGUCCUAAGGUAGCGAAAUUCCUUGUCGGGUAAGUUCCGACCUGCACGAAUGGCGUAAUGAUGGCCAGGCUGUCUCCACCCGAGACUCAGUGAAAUUGAACUCGCUGUGAAGAUGCAGUGUACCCGCGGCAAGACGGAAAGACCCCGUGAACCUUUACUAUAGCUUGACACUGAACAUUGAGCCUUGAUGUGUAGGAUAGGUGGGAGGCUUUGAAGUGUGGACGCCAGUCUGCAUGGAGCCGACCUUGAAAUACCACCCUUUAAUGUUUGAUGUUCUAACGUUGACCCGUAAUCCGGGUUGCGGACAGUGUCUGGUGGGUAGUUUGACUGGGGCGGUCUCCUCCUAAAGAGUAACGGAGGAGCACGAAGGUUGGCUAAUCCUGGUCGGACAUCAGGAGGUUAGUGCAAUGGCAUAAGCCAGCUUGACUGCGAGCGUGACGGCGCGAGCAGGUGCGAAAGCAGGUCAUAGUGAUCCGGUGGUUCUGAAUGGAAGGGCCAUCGCUCAACGGAUAAAAGGUACUCCGGGGAUAACAGGCUGAUACCGCCCAAGAGUUCAUAUCGACGGCGGUGUUUGGCACCUCGAUGUCGGCUCAUCACAUCCUGGGGCUGAAGUAGGUCCCAAGGGUAUGGCUGUUCGCCAUUUAAAGUGGUACGCGAGCUGGGUUUAGAACGUCGUGAGACAGUUCGGUCCCUAUCUGCCGUGGGCGCUGGAGAACUGAGGGGGGCUGCUCCUAGUACGAGAGGACCGGAGUGGACGCAUCACUGGUGUUCGGGUUGUCAUGCCAAUGGCACUGCCCGGUAGCUAAAUGCGGAAGAGAUAAGUGCUGAAAGCAUCUAAGCACGAAACUUGCCCCGAGAUGAGUUCUCCCUGACUCCUUGA